AGAGUGUAGCUCAGAGGUAGAGCACAUGCUUAUUAGCACGCACAAGGUCCUGGGUUCGAACCCCAGUAACUCCA
rnacentral:tRNA from 1 species